GAUGAACGCUAGCGGCAGGCCUAAUACAUGCGAGUCGAACGAUAGAAGAGGGCUUGCUCUCUUCGAAAGUGGCGCACGGGUGCGUAACGCGUAUGCAACCUACCUUAAUCAGGGGGAUAGCCCGAAGAAAUUCGGAUUAACACCGCAUAAAAUCACAGUACAGCAUUGUACAAUGAUCAAAUAUUUAUAGGAUUAAGAUGGGCAUGCGUGACAUUAGCUAGUUGGCGGGGUAACGGCCCACCAAGGCGACGAUGUCUAGGGGAUCUGAGAGGAUGACCCCCCACCCUGGUACUGAGACACGGACCAGACUCCUACGGGAGGCAGCAGUAAGGAAUAGUGGUCAAUGGAGGCAACUCUGAACCAGCCAUGCCGCGUGCAGGAAGACGGCCCUCUGGGUUGUAAACUGCUUUUAUUCGGGAAUAAACCUCAUUAUGUAUAGUGAGCUGAAUGUACCGAAGGAAUAAGGAUCGGCUAACUCCGUGCCAGCCGCCGCCGUAA
rnacentral:rRNA from 1 species